UACUGCAAUGAAGAUGAAUGUAUAAUAACUGAUUAAAAACUAAAAUGUACAACUUUCAGUAAAUAACUAUGUACAUGCUUAGGAUGUUGUAAUAAUGUACAGGGUAACUUCAGAUAUAAAAACGAAGACUUGUAAAAAAUUUUUUAUCAUUAAAAUCUGAUACCAUCCAUUGAUUUAAUAGAACCUUUGGGUAUACCAACAUGGCGGCGCGGUGGCUUUACAGUUGUGACGUCAUGCGCAAUCCAGUCAUUUAUAUAGAUCAGUGGAUACAGCCAGAAAACCCGGAGUGGAUCUGGUGCGUAGUGAUUAGAGAAUGCUUACAGUGGAGAGAGGAACGUGAUUUGGCUCCCCUCCAGGCUUUGAUCACAUUCCACUUAAGAAGGUGAAUACACAGUGUCUUUAUGAAAAGAUAUUUUAAUAAUUUUGCAACUGACGAAAAUCUGUCGUAGACUCGCUGCAAUCGACGGAAAUCCGUCGCUACGACGGAGAACUUUAAUCCAUGCGAUCGACGUAUUGGACACCCCUGUUCUAGGGUAAUGAAAUUGCUAAUAGUUUUUCUUUUGUUGUUUGUUCACAGGCUGGGAUGGUAUCUGGUCAGUCAGCCAUACUUGUCUGGAAGAAGGACUUUGUGAAUCAUAUUUGGUUUUGUUGCCAGAUGGCAAACAAUCGAGAAGAGUUCAUGGGUAUGCGGCGAGGGGUCCUUCACCAUGUCUGUGGUGUGCAUGAAUGGGCCCUUGGUAAAUGUCAACAUCAGCCACUGGAUGCGGUGAGCAGUGCCAAAGACCACUGCUGCAUGCUGUCUCGUUCUGCAGCACAUGAGGCACUCUCACAAAUCGUGCUCAACAGACGAUGACUGAAGGAUGUAGAGAAGUUUCUGAAAUUUAGGUCAACUUCUGAACUGGAGGCCUUUCAGAAUCAUCUGUUGAUGUAUGUUAGCAAGCGGUUUGCCUUCUCCCCUCUAGUCUAUGAAGCAAGGACCCUCCUCGCUGCACUGGACUACAACCACCACAACCACCGACCAGUACACAUCAACCAGAGAGGCGAAGUCUCACAAAGAAGGUUAUACAGCAAAAAGUCUAAACGUUAUCGGGUCCACACGGUAAAGGUUUGCAAAGAAUACAACUACAUCCCUCAGCUGCAGCGCCAAAUUUUGGGUACACAUAGGGCUGGGUCGGUUUGGAUUUUUUUCUUACUUCGGUAAUCAACAAAUUCCCGCGGUUUUGCGGUUUAUUGGCAAGACAACGAGUUAAAUAACAUGCAUGACUUAUUUAUGUUCAAUAAACAACAUGUGCAAAUUACUUAAGGAACAUGUAAAGUGAAUAUAAUUUCCUUCCACAUUUUUUCAAUUUCAACAUU